UACAGAGGUCCCAAGCGUUACUGAGAAUCACUGGGUUUAAAGGGUGCGUAGGUGGUCCGUUAAGUCAGUUGUGAAAUCCCCGGGCUCAACCCGGGAAAUGCUUCUGAUACUGGCGGACUUGAGGCCAGUAGGGUCACUAGAACUGACGGUGGAGCGGUGAAAUGCGUAGAUAUCGUCAGGAAUGCCGGUGGUGAAGACGGGUGACUGGGCUGGUUCUGACGACUGAGGCACGAAAGCGUGGGGAUCA
rnacentral:rRNA from 1 species